GACGGAAGGUGCAAGCGUUGCUCGGAAUUACUGGGCGUAAAGGGCGCGUAGGCGGCCGUGCAAGUCUGGCGUGAAAGCCCCGGGCUCAGCCCGGGAAGUGCGCUCGAAACUGCGCGGCUCGAGUGCCGGAGGGGAGAGUGGAAUUCCUGGUGUAGCGGUGAAAUGCGUAGAUAUCAGGAGGAAUACCGGUGGCGAAAGCGACUCUCUGGACGACAACUGACGCUGAGGCACGAAAGCGUGGGGAGCAAACAGG
rnacentral:rRNA from 1 species